rnacentral:rRNA from 1 species
UGCUACUAUAAUGAGAGCGGCGUACGGGUGCGUAACACGUGUGCAACCUGCCUUUAUCUGGGGGAUAGCCUUUCGAAAGGAAGAUUAAUACCCCAUAAUAUAUUGAUUGGCAUCAAUUAAUAUUGAAAGCUCCGGCGGAUAGAGAUGGGCACGCGUAAGAUUAGCUAGUUGGUGAGGUAACGGCUCACCAAGGCUGCGAUCUUUAGGGGGCCUGAGAGAGUGAUCCCCCACACUGGUACUGAGACACGGACCAGACUCCUACGGGAGGCAGCAGUGAGGAAUAUUGGACAAUGGGUGAAAGCCUGAUCCAGCCAUCCCGCGUGAAGGACUAAGGACCUAUGGUUUGUAAACUUCUUUUAUACAGGGAUAAACCUACUCUCGUGAGGGUAGCUGAAGGUACUGUAUGAAUAAGCACCGGCUAACUCCGUGCCAGCAGCCGCGGUAAUACGGAGGGUGCAAGCGUUAUCCGGAUUUAUUGGGUUUAAAGGGUCCGUAGGCGGGUCGAUAAGUCAGUGGUGAAAGCCUGCAGCUUAACUGUAGAACUGCCGUUGAUACUGUCGGUCUUGAGUGUAUUUGAGGUAGCUGGAAUGAGUAGUGUAGCGGUGAAAUGCAUAGAUAUUACUCAGAACACCAAUUGCGAAGGCAGGUUACCAAGUUACAACUGACGCUGAUGGACGAAAGCGUGGGGAGCGAACAGGAUUAGAUACCCUGGUAGUCCACGCUGUAAACGAUGCUAACUCGUUUUUGGGGUAUUAU